GGAGCUGGGGCCGGCCUGGGACCAUGGGCGGUGAGUGCGGCGCGGGCCUGGGCCGGGGCGGUUGCCGUUGGGGCCGAGCAGCGCAGAGCCCUCUCCCGCACGGCCCCCGCACUCCCGCCGCUGGAUUCCAGCCGAGAUUCAAGCUCCCGGGAUCCCCCUUCCCGGGCGGUCCUGAGCCGGCUAGUCUCCAGUGAGUGCAAUCUACGGAUCAGUCUCUGAUGGUGGGUCGUUAACCUCAGUGGGGACUCCAAGAUUUCCAUGAAGAAAAUCAGUUGUCUUCAUUCAAGAAUUGGGGUCUGGCUCAGAAUUCCUGCAGCUGGUGAAAAUCUGUUUUCUAGAAGAGGUUUAAUUAAUGCCUGCAGUCUGCCCUGAGCUGUAGCCCCAGUCCCCUUUGACAUCACCCAUUUUCCAAUGGAGGAAGCUUCCAGGGAGACAGGGUACCACUUGGAGAGCCCCCAUGGCCACUUCAGAUUGCAGCCAUUGCCACUUCAUCUCACCUGAGGUGCUGAGGGGAGAGUCUAGCCUUGCAGGUAAACGACGGCCCAUUGGAGCCUCUCAACCUGGAGAUGCUGCAUGGCAGCCACGAGGAGGCACCCGUGAACCCAGAAUGAAUUUCAGGGUCCGCUCUGAGUCCAAAAGGCAGGAGGGCCCUGGCCAACUAACACCUAACUGAGCCACAGACUCUGGCCUGUUUAUCCUCCACCCUCAAAACCAGCAGGCUUCUCUGACCCUUUUUGGACUUUGGCUGGGGAAGCCACUGGCUUUUGGAAAAAGUUCAGUCUGCAGUGAUGGCGGGAACAAUCUCAGGAGUCUGGAAGAAGUUAAUGAUUAAAAAGGCAUGGAAGAAGAACUGGAUGGCGGCUUGGGGAGUAGUUUCUGCAGUCAGGAGGCACCCUUCACCUCAUUCCCUUGGCCCACAGUCAUCUGUGCAUGCGUCUGCCCCUCCCUCCAUCAGUGGAGCUCCCUCUGAGCUGCGUACUCGAGGGUGGAGGAGAGUUUGGGGGAACUCAAACAUGUGGUAGUAGAGACUGUAGUAACUUUAAAAUUCUCUUUGUAUUUGCAGAAUCAUUUCCCCAAUUUACACACUCAUGUUUCAGUUUACAGGGCAUCCUUUUGUCACCUGCUCGCCACCCUUAUGCCCCUGGGUGUGACCAGCUUCCUCAGAAAGAGCUGUAAUCAAUAGCAUAUUGAUUAAAAAGCAUAUUAAGAUGAAAA
rnacentral:lncRNA from 1 species